rnacentral:lncRNA from 1 species
UUCACUUCUGCUCACGAGCAAGGCGAUCUUAUCCUUGUUCAUGUGUUUAUCCAUUCAGGGUGGCAGCUCUCAGCAACCGGUCAACAUCCAUGGAUGAGGAGCAAAGGCGAACCAUCUUCACUCGCUUCCUGUAUCCGUUCCUCUCAAGAGGAAACUCAUCAGGUUGGUGCUUGGGAAAAGACUCCCAGGCUUUGAGAAAAUGUUCAAACUUGACACUGUGAUGUCUCUCCUGAGUAAGAGCACACGCAUGACGAUCAUGUUUCUUUGCUGUAUUUAUUUCAGAUCCUGGCUGCAUCACUGGCACCCUAGGCAGCAAAGACUGGCUUCAGAAGAACUUUGGCGACUUUGCGGUUUACGCGCCACUGGAAGAUCUACAAAAACUCAAUGGCAAUUUCUCCAGCGUAAGUCCCCUCCAUCAUUUCCUGAUCAUUCACAUCAAAUCAUCUGUUAGCUUCCUGGCUAAGCACGUCCCUAACUGCUUUUCCAUCGCGUGCUGUAGUUUGAGUCUCUGGAACUGCUGACGCCAUCCCAGGCAGCACAGCUGACUCUGACUUCCGGAGCACUGAAUGACUCCACAAAAAUGGAGGCCAUCUUUGAUCGCCUAGAGGAGGGAGAUGCUCUUCAAAAUGUUGACCAGUUUCUGACAGCACUGAGCGUGGCUCCCGAGGUAAUUCACGCCAUCCACUCAAGACGACAAAGAUUCCCAGCGCACCGUGCUGGUGCCCUUCAUAGGGAAUAUGAACGCUCAUGUCUCUCCUGUCUCCACAGAUUCCAGAUAUUGCCCCUCCCGUGAGAGACUUUGCCAUGAACCGCACCUUCAACAUCAUCAGCGUUCAUUUCCUGCAGUUUGAGGUAUCGGCCUGGAUCGCCUGGUUCCACGUGAAACUAAUUCCUGUCCUCCCCAGUUUCACUACAGAGAUGCUCACUCAAACCACCGCACAGACAAACUGCACCAACUACCAAGUCAUUGUGAAAGGAAUGGGCAAGGUCUCCAAGAAAAUGCCGCUCACCAGAAGAAAGGGAAUCGCCAACGUCCUUGUGAAACAUCUGAAGCAGUUCUUGGCCACGUUCAACAAAAGAGGUAACUGGCCCUUGCACACACCAAGCUAGCUUAUAUUAACCUGGAUUCUGACCCAAGAUUUCCUGAGCCUUGCGGAAGCUUCCCAUUUCCAAAUCUUUUAUAAAUUCCCGAGAUGUUGGCGCUUACCUCAGGCUUUGACCCACGUUUUUGUUUAUUUUCUAGCCUGCAGACUGGACAUCCAGAAUGAUGCCGAAUGGCUGGAGGUCAACCUGGGUCCAUUCUCCAAAGAAGUAGACUACUCUGCCUUUAAAGAACUGAAC